rnacentral:rRNA from 1 species
GGAGGAAAAGAAACCAACAGGGAUUGCCUCAGUAACGGCGAGUGAAGCGGCAACAGCUCAAAUUUGAAAUCUGGCCCUAGGCCCGAGUUGUAAUUUGCAGAGGAUGCUUUUGGUGCGGUGCCUUCCAAGUUCCCUAGAACGGGACGCCAGAGAGGGUGAGAGCCCCGUACAGUUGGACACCAAGCCUUUGUAAAGCUCCUUCGACGAGUCGAGUAGUUUGGGAAUGCUGCUCAAAAUGGGAGGUAUAUUUCUUCUAAAGCUAAAUACCGGCCAGAGACCGAUAGCGCACAAGUAGAGUGAUCGAAAGAUGAAAAGCACUUUGAAAAGAGGGUUAAACAGCACGUGAAAUUGUUAAAAGGGAAGCGCUUGUGACCAGACUUGCGUCCGGUGAAUCACCCAGCUCUCGCGGCUGGGGCACUUCGCCGGCUCAGGCCAGCAUCAGCUCGCUGUCGGGGACAAAAGCUUCGGGAACGUAGCUCUCUUCGGGGAGUGUUAUAGCCUGUUGCAUAAUACCCUUCGGCGGGCUGAGGUACGCGCUCCGCAAGGAUGCUGGCAUAAUGGUCAUCAGCGACCCGUCUUGAAACACGGACCAAGGAGUCAACCUUAUGUGCGAGUGUUCGGGUGUCAAACCCCUACGCGUAAUGAAAGUGAACGCAGGUGAGAGCUUCGGCGCAUCAUCGACCGAUCCUGAUGUUCUCGGAUGGAUUUGAGUAAGAGCAUAUAGGGUUGGACCCGAAAGAAGGUGAACUAUGCGUGUAUAGGGUGAAGCCAGAGGAAACUCUGGUGGAGGCUCGCAGCGGUUCUGACGUGCAAAUCGAUCGUCAAAUAUGCGCAUGGGGGCGAAAGCCUAAUCGAACCUUCUAGUAGCUGGUUUCCGC